rnacentral:lncRNA from 1 species
CCUGACCUCCGGUAAUCUGCCUGCCUCGGCCUCCCAAAGGCCGAGGAUUACAGGCUGGGGUUACAGGCACGUGCCACCACGCCCAGGUAUGGCCAUUGUCAAAUCCUGUUUCUUUCUCACUCACCCAGACUGCAGACUAACACAGGUCUUGUCAGACAAUCCCUUACCAGGCCGCUCCAACGCGAGGAAAGUUUAGAAAACAUGGCCCUUUUAGCUGUAAUUAUAUGGCUGGAAGAAGAAACAAAGUUGUGAGCUGCAAUGGAGCUGAAUGUUUUUGUCCCCCCACCAAUCCCCCUCAAAAAACUCAUAGGUUGAAAUCCUAACCCCCAGUGUAAUAGAAAAUGGGGCUUUUGGGAGGUAAUUAGGUCAUGAGGGUAGAGCCCUCAUGGAGGGAUUAAUGACCUUAUAAAAGAGACUCCAGAAAGCUAGCUUGUCCUAUUUCUGCCAUGUGAGGACACAACAAGACAGUAGUCAUGUGCAGCCCAGAAGAGGGUCCGCACCAGAACCCAACCAUGCUGGGACCCUGAUCUCAAACUGGCAACCUGCAGAACUCUAAGAAAUGCCUCCUGUUUAUAAGCCACCAGUUUAUGGGACUUUGUUAUAAGCAGCCCAAGCUAAGGCAUAUGGGCAAUGAAAAUAUCAGAAUUGUUUGAAACUUUAAUCUAUUGUAAUAACUCCUUUCACAUUGUGUAUAAUACGUCGGUUUAACAAUAUGUAAUAAAAUUUUAAAACAAGGCAUCUAUUCCAAGAAUUAAUUAAUUAUAUUAAUUGAACAGACACUUACUAAUUCAUUCAACAAAUUGCUGAACACCUGAUAUGUGCCAGAUAUUUUUCUAGGUGCUGGAGAUACAGCAGUGAAAACAAAGAGCAAACCCUGACCCUUGUGAAGUGAAUUGUC